UGAGGAAUAUUGGGCAAUGCCCGAAUGGGUGACCCAGCAACGCCGCGUGGAGGAUGAAGGUCGUAAGAUUGUAAACUCCUGUUAGAGGGGAAGAAUAACUAAGUUUGGAGCUUAGUAUGACUGUACCCUUAGAGAAAGCCCCGGCUAACUACGUGCCAGCAGCCGCGGUAAUACGUAGGGGGCAAGCGUUGUCCGGAUUUACUGGGUGUAAAGGGCGCGCAGGCGGAAUGGAAAGUCAGUGGUGAAAUCCUACAGCUUAACUGUAGAACUGCCUUUGAUACUUUCAUUCUUGAGUUCGGGAGAGAGAGACGGAAUUCCAGGUGUAGUGGUGAAAUACGUAGAUAUCUGGAAGAACACCAGUUGCGAAGGCGGUCUCUUGGUCCGAUACUGACGCUGAGGCGCGAAAGCGUGGGGAGCAAACA
rnacentral:rRNA from 1 species